CCUUUCUAAGGAUGAUCAAGAAUUGGAAGCCUUCAUAAAGUGAAAGCAUUCCUUUUUGAUCUAAUUAGACAUAAGGGUUUAAAUCAGUCAGUUUAAACAACCAGACACUUUAAACCUUGUGCAUAUGAACACGCACUUUAAAAAUAACGGUUCUUUCUUUCAAAGAGGCCCCUACCUUUCAUGAAAGAGAGCCACUUUCAAGGUGCCGUGCUCAUGUGUUAAGAUAUAUAAGCAGACUAGCCGUCUUCGUUUCUCUUUCUUCAGAUGAUGAUCCCAAGCCUUCUGGCGAUCUACAAAAAACAAGCCUUUUUUUAGGCUUUCAGAAAACACUUUUGUUUUUAUAAAAUACUGUGUUUUUAUGAGAUUAUGCCGGGGAAGGUUUUCCGGUUUAUCCCGGAGGGCUUGUAGCUCAGUUGGUUAGAGCGCGCGCUUGAUAAGCGUGAGGUCGGAGGUUCAAGUCCUCCCAGGCCCACCAAUUACUCCAUUCAUUUUCUUUAUCUGUUCCUUUGAUUGUAUGUGCAGAUAACAGUUUUAUAAAAGGAUUAUAGCGCUUAUCUCUUUCGCUUAAACACUCCAAACUUCAUGUGGUGAAAACGUAAAGCGAUGCAAAUUUGCUAGAAAUUUUGCACUGUCUCUUUCAUAACAGUUUGGAAUCCUUUAUCCUGUUUUAGGGGCCGUAGCUCAGCUGGGAGAGCACCUGCUUUGCAAGCAGGGGGUCGUCGGUUCGAUCCCGUCCGGCUCCACCAUUCUAGAUCAUCAUCAUUGUUGUGAGAACAGUCUUUGUAAAAGGUUGAAUGACCUUUUGCUUGUUCUAUUGAAAUUGUGAAGAGAAGAUAUAUUCAGACAUGUUCCUUUUUUUAGGUUGUUUCUGUAGGACAAGUUUUUUGCUGAGAAAAAUGCUUUCUUGGCAAAAUGCUUGUUGUCAAAAAAGGUUUUUGCCAACAGAUCUUGAAAGCGAAAGCCUUAGCUAAAGGGGAGAUCUUAAUAUAAAAAAGAAACAGUGUGUCGCAAGGGAAUGCUCAAAGCCCUUGCUUAUGAUUGGAAGCUUAACCGCGCCACUGAGUAUAUCUCGAGAAGCUGGUCUUUUCUGCUGAUAUUUUUGUUUAUUUUGCACAAGAUAAACAGUGAAUGAAUAUUGGCAAUGAGAACG
rnacentral:tRNA from 1 species